rnacentral:tRNA from 1 species
CCCGGCUUAGCUCAGUCUGGUAGAGCGGCGGACUGUAGAUCCGCGGGUCGCCGGUUCAAAUCCGGCAGCCGGGA